CAGUGAAUAGUUUAUUUAAAACAUUAAUUUUGGAGAUUAAAGAUAGGCAUAUUUGCUUUUUACUGA
rnacentral:tRNA from 1 species